UGUGGGAGGCAUGGAGUCACGAGGAGAAAGGAGUGGUUAGUUAGAACGCGAAUAUAUUAAGAGGAGAGACAAGGAACAGACAGGCGUAAGAGACGGGGAUAUGACAGGGGAAGGGAAGGGAAGGGAAGGAAAGGAACAAGAAGAUAGGACAAGAAAUACGAGGUUAAGAGAUACAGAGAAAGGAAGGUAAGUGGCUGGGGCGGAAACAAGGGUAGGGAAGAGAAGGGAACGGGACAGAAGAUAGGACAAGAAAUAUGAGGUUGAGAGAUACAGAGAAAGGAAGGUAACUGGCUGGGGCGGAAACAAAGGUAGGGAAGAGAAGGGAACGGGACAGAGGACAGGAUAGGAAAUGUGGGGUUGAGAGAGCAGAGAAAGGAAGGUAACUGGCUGGGGCGGAAACAAAGGUAGGGAAGAGAAGGGAACGGGACAGAGGACAGGAUAGGAAAACGAGAGAGAUAUUGAAAGAUGUGAUCAGAGUAGGGAAGGGGAUGCUGGGAUGCUGGGAUGCUGAUUGACUGGCCUCGGAGGGAAGGUGACUGACUAGAAUGGAGGAAAGGAAGACGGGAAGGACAAGAAGGAGGAACAAGGAAGAGGGGAACAGAAACGACAGUCUAAGGCAUGACAAGGGCAGGAAAGGGGAUGCUGGGCCGCUGAGAUGCUGGCUAGCGGGCCGGGGAGGUGCAGAAAGCCAGCUUGGGCUCUAGUAUUGAUCAAGGCCUUAGUCACUCCAGCCAGAUGGUGACACGCACUUCAAAAAAUAAAGAAAGAAAGAAAGAAAUA